rnacentral:rRNA from 1 species
GACGCCUACACAUGCAAGUCGAGCGAGCCUUCGGGCAAGCGGCGGACGGGUUAGUAACGCGUGGGAACGUACCCUUCUCUAAGGAAUAGCCUCGGGAAACUGAGAGUAAUACCUUAUACGCCCUUUGGGGGAAAGAUUUAUCGGGGAAGGAUCGGCCCGCGUCUGAUUAGAUAGUUGGUGGGGUAAUGGCCUACCAAGUCUACGAUCAGUAGCUGGUUUGAGAGGAUGAUCAGCAACACUGGGACUGAGACACGGCCCAGACUCCUACGGGAGGCAGCAGUGGGGAAUCUUAGACAAUGGGCGCAAGCCUGAUCCAGCAAUGCCGCGUGA